GGUGAUUAGGUCAUGAGGGUGGAGCUUCAUGAAUAAGAUUAGUGCCAUUGUCAAGGGAACCCAGAGAGCUCUUUGACUCUUUUUCCAACAUGUGAGAUCACAACAAGAAGAUGCCUGUUUAUGAACGAGGAAGCUAAGUGGGCCCUCAUGAGACAGCAGAUCUUCCAGUGCCUUGAUUUCAAACUUUCCAGCCUCCAGAACUAUGAGAAAUAAAUCUUGGUUGUUUAAGCCAUCAAGUUUAUGGUAUUUUUGUUAAAGCAGCCCGAACAGACAAAGGCAAAUUGAAGAAGUAGGCAAUGUUAAAAGAAAGACAUAUUAUAUGUAAGUAAAUAUGUGGAUACAUUGGAUGCAUGUAAGCAUAGAUUCCUAGUCUCCACAAAUAUCAGCUUAUCUAAAACAAGUGAAAAAACAAUUAUAAACAAUUACCUUAUCAAUGUUUAAAUGAGGUUCAUUAUUCUCAGAAUCACUGAA
rnacentral:lncRNA from 1 species